ACGCACGCUGGCGGCGUGCUUAACACAUGCAAGUCGAACGGAAAGGCCCUGCUUUUGUGGGGUGCUCGAGUGGCGAACGGGUGAGUAACACGUGAGUAACCUGCCCUUGACUUUGGGAUAACUUCAGGAAACUGGGGCUAAUACCGGAUAGGAGCUCCUGCUGCAUGGUGGGGGUUGGAAAGUUUCGGCGGUUGGGGAUGGACUCGCGGCUUAUCAGCUUGUUGGUGGGGUAGUGGCUUACCAAGGCUUUGACGGGUAGCCGGCCUGAGAGGGUGACCGGCCACAUUGGGACUGAGAUACGGCCCAGACUCCUACGGGAGGCAGCAGUGGGAAAUAUUGCACAAUGGGCGGAAGCCUGAUGCAGCAACGCCGCGUGCGGGAUGACGGCCUUCGGGUUGUAAACCGCUUUCGCCUGUGACGAAGCGUGAGUGACGGUAAUGGGUAAAGAAGCACCGGCUAACUACGUG
rnacentral:rRNA from 1 species